GACGAACGCUGGCGGCGUGCUUAACACAUGCAAGUCGAACGAAGUGGCGCACGGGUGAGUAACGCGUAAUCAACCUGCCCUUCAGAGGGGGAAAACAGGUGGAAACGACUGCUAAUACCGCAUACUGAAGGAUGGGAUUGCGUCUGAUGAGCUAGUUGGAGGGGUAACGGCCAACCAAGGCGAUGAUCAGUAGCCGGGCUGAGGGGCUGAACGGCCACAGUGGGACGGAGACACGGCCCAGACUCCUACGGGAGGCAGCAGUGGGGAAUCCUCCGACAUGGACGAAAGUCUGACGGAGCAACGCCGCGUGAGUGAUGAAGGCCUUCGGGUUGUAAAGCUCUGUUAAUCGGGACGCGGUACCGGAAUAGAAAGCCACGGCUAACUACGUGCCAGCAGCCGCGGUAAUAC
rnacentral:rRNA from 1 species